CUAGGCGACGAUCCCUAGCUGGUCUGAGAGGAUGACCAGCCACACUGGAACUGAGACACGGUCCAGACUCCUACGGGAGGCAGCAGUGGGGAAUAUUGCACAAUGGGCGCAAGCCUGAUGCAGCCAUGCCGCGUGUAUGAAGAAGGCCUUCGGGUUGUAAAGUACUUUCAGCGGGGAGGAAGGGAGUAAAGUUAAUACCUUUGCUCAUUGACGUUACCCGCAGAAGAAGCACCGGCUAACUCCGUGCCAGCAGCCGCGGUAAUACGGAGGGUGCAAGCGUUAAUCGGAAUUACUGGGCGUAAAGCGCACGCAGGCGGUUUGUUAAGUCAGAUGUGAAAUCCCCGGGCUCAACCUGGGAACUGCAUCUGAUACUGGCAAGCUUGAGUCUCGUAGAGGGGGGUAGAAUUCCAGGUGUAGCGGUGAAAUGCGUAGAGAUCUGGAGGAAUACCGGUGGCGAAGGCGGCCCCCUGGACGAAGACUGACGCUCAGGUGCGAAAGCGUGGGGAGCAAACAGGAUU
rnacentral:rRNA from 1 species